UAUUGGUCAAUGGACGCGAGUCUGAACCAGCCAAGUAGCGUGAAGGAUGACUGCCCUAUGGGAUGUAAACUUCUUUUAUAUGGGAAUAAAGUUUUCCACGUGUGGAAUUUUGUAUGUACAAUAUGAAUAAGGAUCGGCGAACUCCGUGCAAGCAGCCGCGGUAAUACGGAGGAGCCGAGCGUUAUCCGGAUUUAUUGGGUUUAAAGGGAGCGUAGGUGGAUUGUUAAGUCAGGUGUGAAAGUUUGCGGCUCAACCGUAAAAUUGCAGUUGAAACUGGCAGUCUUGAGUACAGUAGAGGUGGGCGGAAUUCGUGGUGUAGCGGUGAAAUGCUUAGAUAUCACGAAGAACUCCGAUUGCGAAGGCAGCUCACUGGACUGCAACUGACACUGAUGCUCGAAAGUUUGGGUAUCAAAC
rnacentral:rRNA from 1 species